rnacentral:rRNA from 1 species
GACGAACGCUGGCGGCGGGCUUAACACAUGCAAGUCGAACGGAAAGGCCCUGCUUUUGUGGGGUGCUCGAGUGGCGAACGGGUGAGUAACACGUGAGUAACCUGCCCUUGACUUUGGGAUAACUUCAGGAAACUGGGGCUAAUACCGGAUAGGAGCUCCUUCUGCAUGGUGUGGGUUGGAAAGUUUCGGCGGUUGGGGAUGGACUCGCGGCUUAUCAGCUUGUUGGUGGGGUAGUGGCUUACCAAGGCUUUGACGGGUAGCCGGCCUGAGAGGGUGACCGGACAAAUUGGGAUUGAGAUGCGGCCCAGACUCCUACGGGAGGCAGCAGUGGGGAAUAUUGCACAAUGGGCGGAAGCCUGAUGCAGCAACGCCGCGUGCGGGAUGACGGCAUUCGGGUUGUAAACCGCUUUCGCCUGUGACGAAGCGUGAGUGACGGUAAUGGGUAAAGAAGCACCGGCUAACUACGUG